rnacentral:rRNA from 1 species
CGCGUAGGAAUCUGCCCAAAAGUGGGGGAUAACUUGGGGAAACCCAAGCUAAUACCGCAUAUACCUAAGGGUGAAAGGUGGGGAUCUUCGGACCUACCGCUUUUGGAGGAGCCUGCGUCGGAUUAGCUAGUUGGUGGGGUAAAGGCCCACCAAGGCGACGAUCCGUAGCUGGUCUGAGAGGAUGAUCAGCCACACCGGGACUGAGACACGGCCCGGACUCCUACGGGAGGCAGCAGUCGGGAAUAUUGCGCAAUGGGGGAAACCCUGACGCAGCCAUGCCGCGUGUGUGAAGAAGGCCUU